rnacentral:lncRNA from 1 species
UAGAGAUCAAUUUAUUUCCUGAUUUCUAAUUGAAGGAAUAUAAGAAUACAAUGGGAGAUCCCCUCUUCAAUAUCUCUAAAAUGCUUUUUAAAAUGACUUUUAUGAGGCUGCUUCCCACAAAGUCUCUCUGUUUAUACUACUCCAUAAGUGCAUAUUUACUAAAGAUCAGGUGAUAAUAAUAGUGUCUAAUAUGACCAUAACAAUGAAAUCAGCCACCAUUUAAGGAACAUUUAUUAUGUACCAAACACUGUACAAAAUUCUUUAUUUAUAUUGUUCCUGUGCAUUCUCAGAAGGAGUAAAAGGGCAAAUUUUAUCAGCCAUGUUUUCCAUAUGGACAAUCUGAGGUUCCAAAAAGCCAAGCAACCGCUCAAGUUUAAACUUCCCUUACAACUGGGUGUGGUUGCACACGCCUGUCAUCCCAGUGACUCAGGAGGCUGAGGCAAGGGGAUCACAAGUUCAAAGCCAGUCAGCAGUUCAGUGAGGUCCUAAGCAGCUUAGCAAAACCUUAUAUCAAAAUAAAAUAAAUAAAUAAAUAAAUAAAUAAAUAAAUAAAUAGGGCUGGGGAUGUCACUUACUGCUUAAAUGCCCCUGUAUAAAAUCCCUGGUAGGAGGGGGGGAAAAAAUGAAACAAAACCACCAAUACAUGGUAUGGACUACCACCAAUACAUGGUAUGGACUACUCAUCUCCAGAGUCUAUAAAUAUGAUUUCCAAUGCAUGUGGUUAAAACGGAAAGCAACUUAUGAGUGAGGAGAAAAGACUCCAAAAGGUGAGAUGGAUUUCCUUGGGUUCCAUGACUUAACACUAGAUGCCCCAUGUUGAGUUCUUCCAGAUUUAACUUUAUUAUCUUGUACUCUAUGUGAGCACAUGAGAAGGUUGUUACGUUCCUGUUUCCUUAUGGACACAGAAUAUUUUGGGAAGUAUAGAAAACAUCAGGCAGACCAUUUUGGCUUAAUUCCUGAUGCUGGAGCUGUCAAAAAACGUACUCCUAGUUACUUUCUCAAAGCAUGAGUUGCACUUCCAACAUGAGUCAGUGGCCAAUGGAGAAGCCAUUGAGUGGAGGAGCUCUUGUGGUUCAGUGACACACAGUCAGGGCAUUCUCUCUCCAGGGGAAUAAUGUCAACACUUUUAGUCUUGAAUCACUUCUCUCUCGCAUUCUCUAUUCCUCUUCAGCCAUAAGGAAAAUCCUAUCUGCAUUUCAAAGAGAAGAAUACUGCCAAAUUCUCUGCCCUCAUCAAUCUCCAUUCAACUGCCAGUAGAAUGAC